AUUGAACGCUGGCGGCAGGCCUAACACAUGCAAGUCGAGCGGGGUUUUCGGACCUAGCGGCGGACGGGUGAGUAAUGCGUAGGAAGCUGCCCGAUAGAGGGGGAUACCAGUUGGAAACGACUGUUAAUACCGCAUAAUGUCUACGGACCAAAGUGUGGGACCUUCGGGCCACAUGCUAUCGGAUGCGCCUACGUGGGAUCAGCUAGUUGGUGAGGUAAUGGCUCACCAAGGCGACGAUCCCUAGCUGGUUUGAGAGGAUGAUCAGCCACACUGGAACUGAGACACGGUCCAGACUCCUACGGGAGGCAGCAGUGGGGAAUAUUGGACAAUGGGCGCAAGCCUGAUCCAGCCAUGCCGCGAGUGUGAAGAAGGCCUUCGGGUUGUAAAGCACUUUCAGCGAGGAGGAAGGGGUGUGUGUUAAUAGUACACACCUUUGUCGUUACUCGCAGAAGAAGCACCGGCUAACUCUGUGCCAGCAGCCGCCGUAAAAC
rnacentral:rRNA from 1 species